rnacentral:tRNA from 1 species
GGCUGGGUAGCUCAGUUGGUAGAGCAAAGGACUGAAAAUCCUUGUGUCCCUGGUUCGAUUCCAGGUCCAGCCACCA